rnacentral:siRNA from 1 species
UGAGGGUGCUAAAAGUGACUA